rnacentral:rRNA from 1 species
AACGAACGCUGGCGGCAUGCCUAACACAUGCAAGUCGAACAAAGCCUUCGGGCUUAGUGGCGCACGGGUGCGUAACGCGUGGGAAUCUGCCCUUGGGUUCGGAAUAACAGUUAGAAAUGACUGCUAAUACCGAAUGAUGUCUUCGGACCAAAGAUUUAUCGCCCAAGGAUGAGCCCGCGUCGGAUUAGCUAGUUGGUGAGGUAAAGGCUCACCAAGGCGACGAUCCGUAGCUGGUCUGAGAGGAUGAUCAGCCACACUGGGACUGAGACACGGCCCAGACUCCUACGGGAGGCAGCAGUGGGAAUAUUGGACAAUGGGCGAAAGCCUGAUCCAGCAAUGCCGCGUGAGUGAUGAAGGCCUUAGGGUUGUAAAGCUCUUUUACCCGGGAUGAUAAUGACAGUACCGGGAGAAUAAGCCCCCGGCUAACUCCGUGCCAGCAGCCGCGGUAAU